rnacentral:rRNA from 1 species
UACGGGGGGUCCAAGCGUUGUUCGGAUUCACUGGGCGUAAAGCGCAUGUAGGUGGCUUUUCAAGUCAACCGUGAAAGCCCCGGGCCUAACCCGGGAAGUGCAGUUGAUACUGUUGAGCUUGAGUACGAGAGAGGAUAGUGGAAUUUCUGGUGUAGUGGUGAAAUACGUAGAUAUCAGAAGGAACAUCGGUGGCGAAGGCGGCUAUCUGGCUCGAUACUGACACUGAGAUGCGAAAGCGUGGGGAUCAAACAGG